AGAGAAUAGAUACCCGGGUAGUCCCAGCCGUAAACGAUGCUCGCUAGGUGUCAGGCAUGGCGCGACCGUGUCUGGUGCCGCAGGGAAGCCGUGAAGCGAGCCACCUGGGAAGUACGGCCGCAAGGCUGAAACUUAAAGGAAUUGGCGGGGGAGCACAACAACGGGUGGAGCCUGCGGUUUAAUUGGACUCAACGCCGGACAACUCACCGGGGGCGACAGCAAUAUGUAGGCCAAGCUGAAGACUUUGCCUGAAUCGCUGAGAGGAGGUGCAUGGCCGUCGCCAGUUCGUACUGUGAAGCAUCCUGUUAAGUCAGGCAACGAGCGAGACCCGUGCCCACUGUUACCAGCAUGUCCUCCGGGACGAUGGGUACUCUGUGGGGACCGCCGAUGUUAAAUCGGAGGAAGGUGCGGGCCACGGUAGGUCAGUAUGCCCCGAAUCUCCCGGGCUACACGCGGGCUACAAUGGAUGGGACAAUGGGUCCUCCCCUGAAAAGGGCUGGUAAUCUCACAAACCCAUUCGUAGUUCGGAUCGAGGGCUGUAAC
rnacentral:rRNA from 1 species